rnacentral:tRNA from 2 species
GCCCGGGUGGUGGAAUGGUAUACACAGCAGACUUAAAAUCUGCCGCCGCAAGGCUUACCGGUUCGAGUCCGGUCCCGGGCA